rnacentral:rRNA from 1 species
GAUGAACGCUGGCGGCGUGCUUAACACAUGCAAGUCGAACGAAGCAUUUAAGACAGAUUACUUCGGUUUGCAGUCUUUUAUGACUGAGUGGCGGACGGGUGAGUAACGCGUGGGUAACCUGCCUCAUACAGGGGGAUAGCAGCUGGAAACGGCUGGUAAUACCGCAUAAGCGCACAGUACCACAUGGUACAGUGUGAAAAACUCCGGUGGUAUGAGAUGGACCCGCGUCUGAUUAGCUUGUUGGCGGGGUAACGGCCCACCAAGGCGACGAUCAGUAGCCGACCUGAGAGGGUGACCGGCCACAUUGGGACUGAGACACGGCCCAGACUCCUACGGGAGGCAGCAGUGGGGAAUAUUGCACAAUGGAGGAAACUCUGAUGCAGCGACGCCGCGUGAGUGAAGAAGUAGUUCGCUAUGUAAAGCUCUAUCAGCAGGGAAGAUAGUGACGGUACCUGACUAAGAAGCUCCGGCUAAAUACGUG